CCAGCUCCCAAAGCGCUUCUUGGUCUCCUCUGCGAAAUUGCCUUCAGGCCGGCCCGGGCGCUUCUUCGGAACGACGUGGGGCUGGAUACCCAGGGGCUAGGAGUUUCCGGGCGGCGGGGACGCGGGGCGGGAUGGGCGCGGCUGCAUCCUUCGGCGCUGGGAGCCGCCCCACCAAAGGUAUCUACCCAUCCAGAUACCUCGGAGAACUCUCGCGCCUCCCAUACUCAUCUUCCCCGCUUCCUGGCUCUCGAGAUUUUUGAAAUCAUUUCUGAAAGGGCCCCCUUGUACGCCCCAUCCCCAACAUUUCUGUUUCGUGGCAUCGAAAGGAGCAACAAACGUUUCCGAGAGCAACGGUGCCAUAAAAGCCUGUGGAGCUGGGUGGACUGAGCGAGUGUGAAGAGAAGACCCCGGACCCUUUCGGGAGCCCUGCAGGACAGGGAGUCGCGCGGUCCGUGGUGAGCCCUGCGUGUGACAAGGUCUCAGGCUAAAAUGAUCGCUGUUUGGUCUGCGCUUCUGCUCCUGCUUUUCCAGGCGGAGAGCCUUGGUCCAGGAGCCAGCAGUCCGCUGCUUUGGUGGCAGCAAUGGGCUCCAAAGGACACUUCUGAUGGCUUUGCAGAUGACCAACACAGGCAUGAUACCCUGUGAACUCUUUGAGUUCCCUGUCUUUCUCACUGUUUCCAAGGCUGUGGUUCUGGAGGCCAGAAACCCAAGAUCGAGAUGUUGGCAGUAUCGGUUUCUCCCGAGGCUGGGCUCAGCUGGCGGAUGGCCGCCUUCUCACCAGGUUCUCACACGGUCUUUCUUUUGUGCACGCAUCUCUGGUGUGUGUCUGUGUGUGUCCAAAUUUCCUUUUUACAUAAGGAUACUAGUUAUGUUGGAACUAGAAGACAGUGCAAUAAUGCCCUCAAAGUUUUAGGAAACAGGUAUUCGACCUUGAAUUCUCUACCCAAAGUAUCACUUAUGUUGAUAAAAUAAAAACA